rnacentral:tRNA from 1 species
AGAGUGGUUGGUAAGUGGCUGAAACCAACACCCUACUGAGGUGUCAGGCUUAAUUGUCUCGCGAGUUAAAAUCCCGCCCUCUCUG